rnacentral:lncRNA from 1 species
UGUGCAGGCUACAAAGGUUGCAAAUAUUACAACGCUAAUGGAACUUUCAUUUGUGAAGGACAAUCUGACCCAAGAAAGCCAAACGAACAUUGUCCCAAGGAAUGUGAUCGUAAGAUUGCUUAUUCAAAAUGUCCCCAUUCAGAAGGACCUACUAAAAUUAUACCCACUAAAUGCACCACGUGUUGCACGGGAUACAAGGGUUGCUACUAUUACGGUAAAGACAACAAGUUUGUGUGUGAAGGACAGAGUAAUGAACCCAAGGUUUGUACUCAACAAUGUGAUCCUAAAGUUGCCUACAUGACUUGUCCACCUGAAUCGACAAAACUUACUCGAGUUUGUGUCAAUUGUUGUACUGCAAAACCAGGGUGCAAACUCUAUGGUCAUGAUGGAUCUUUAAUUUGUAUCGGAGGUGUUAAACCUCAUUAAUAGUCCUUAUAUGUAUGAAAUAAAAGCAUGAUUAUAUACUUAUUAUUGUCAUGCUAAACAUUGUAAUGUGGGCAAUGGAGCACUUGCGCAAUAAAUUAAUAAAAUAUUUUACUUUGAACUCUAGUUUUUUUUUUUCCUCAAAGUCAAUUUGUUUGAUUUACUUUAAAUCCUUUUUUUAGUUUAUUUUAAAAAAAUAAUCAUUUCUUUUAGUAAUUUCUUAUUUUUAAUUUUACACAUGACAUGUUAUAAGAUUAUGAGAUUAAAAAAAUGGAUUUUUAAAUCUACAAGUCAUACCGAAUUAAUAAAUUUUGGGUUUCUUUUAAUUUUCGUGUUUUCGGAUUAUUUCGAUAAAGUAUUCAUCUAAAUAUAUAAUUAACGUGUGCUUCAAAUAUUCUUUGGUCCUAUCAAAAUACAACUAUGUAAGGUAUUUAUUAAAAAAAAUAACACAAAUAUAUUAAAAUGAGUGAUGACACUAAAAUAUUCAACAAAAAGACAAUAAUAAUAAUAAUAGUAAUAACAACAAUAAAUCACAUAAAACAAAUAUUGUAAAUUAAUAAGUCAUAACAUAAUUUAAAAAUACUAAAUAAGUCUAUUAAGUAAUAGCUCAUGACUUUCUUUUGGUAAUACUAAUUACAUGACUAAACAUGGAAGAAAAAUAAAAUUAGGAUAUUCAUAUUUUAAUUGUCUAAAUGUAAAACUAAAUAACAAAAAUUCAAACAUUAUUGUCGUUCUCGAUGUUCAAUUAAUUUUUUUUUGUUAAAUCGAUAUUGAUUUAAUUUGUAAGAGUUGCUCAUAUUUAUAGACAAUUAUCUUUAUAGUUAAUCAUUCAAAAUUCUAAGUCUUUAACUUCACAUAAUGUGUAAAAGGACAAAAAUUAUGAAAAAAUUAAAGUGUAAGAAACAUUACACUUUAUAUCAAAUUCAAAGUAAAGUAUAUAUGAAAUAUAUUUUAAAAUUAUAUAUUUAAUAUCAGAUUGAAUUGACUUAGAUAAAAUCAAAUCAAUCCAAAUAUAAUUUUUUUCUUAAAAAAUCAAUGCCAAAUCUAAUCAAACCAAAUUACAAAUCAAAUUUCUCUUCCAAUAUAUUUAACUCAAUUUACAAUUCUGUUCAAUUUUUCGCUGAUUAUAUACACCGUAAUAAUCAUAUCUACCAAUUUGCUUAUUAUUAUUAUACUCAAGUGUAAGGGCGGCUUAAUUUUAAUAACCUGUCAAUUAAUUAUAUUGUAAUUAUUUUAACCAUUAAUGUGUCGAACAUAUAAGCAAUAAUCAAAAGCCAAAAGUUAUAAUAAUUUAGCUAGACCUGGUAAUUUAAGCACUUCUAAGAGUCCACGGUUAUUCUUCGCAUAGUCAUUUAAUCGAUAGUUGUUAUAUUAAUUUAUUUAACAAAAAGUAUACACGACUUUUUAGAUAAAAAUUACUAAUUAAGUGAGAAUCUGAAAAAUUGAUUCAACACUUCAACUUUAUAUAUAACUAGAGAAAUUGUCGGCUGCGAUAUUUAUUAAAAAAUUUAUAUUCAUGUUAGUGUCAGAUAUAUAAACAAUAUUAAUAUUCUCUUCAUAUAGGAUAUGAUAUAUUUUUUUUAUCUUUCUAAAAAUAUUAAAUUGAUUUUUUUUACAUCUUUUUAGUGCAGGCUAUAUAUAUAUAUAUAUAUAUUAGGAUGAAUUAUUUAUCACGGUGAAGUAAAUGAAAUAGAGAUCAUAUAUUAAAAUAACAAUAUAUCGUAUAAGUAUUUUUAAAAUCCUCUAUAAAAAUUUUGCUUUCGUAGUUUAAAGUUCUUCAUUAUGUCUUUAUUAUUAUUUUUUUGAUUUUGUAAACAUUGAGUAAAAUAUUAAUAAAAAUUGUAAAAAAAAAACAUGAAAAAGUUAUAACAAUAUUUAAGAAUAGAAGUUACAAGUAAAAUGAAGAGACGUGAAUUAUGAAUUUUAUUAGACAUUAAUUGCAUUAAUAAUUAUGUAUUAAUUUUAUUUAUAAAAAUAAAUAAAUAAAUGUGAAAUAAGUGAUAGAACUACAAUAAUGAACAAAAAAAAUGAUUGAUGAAUGAUUAAAAAAUAUGAAUAUAUUUCAAACAAAAAAGAAUAAUAACUUAAACAGAUUGUUACAUAAAAAAAAGGCAUCAUAGAAUUUUAAUUAUUUUCUUGCAAGCAUAAUAAAAAUGUUCAUUAUCAGUAUAAUUUAUUUAUUUUUAAAUGAGAUAGUUGUUAAAUUGUGCUUCAUAACAGAGAAAUAGAUUAGUACAUGUAGUUAACUUACUUGUACAAACUAAAGUUUAAAAAAUCUAGCAAAAGUAGCUAGCUACCUUACCAAUAAAAGUCAAAAAAAACCCAAAAAAAUAUUCUAGCAAAAAAUAAUUUCUAAUUAUGCUUCAAAAAUUAUUUUCUUUUAUAUCUUCCUUAAUAAGUAAAUUCGUCAUCAUAUUUUGAACUCCAAAUGUCGACCUCUUUAUUAUAUGCUACCUAUUGGAAUUACGUAAGUCCAUUAAGUAGUUAGGCAAGUUAUAGUUAGUUGUAACUAACUUCAUGCACCAAAAGUGUGAUCAAAUAGAAUGACAUGAUUCUUAUAAAUAGGAGUCAUUAUUGUAUACUUCAUAUAUGAAAAUCAAAUCUUCUUCUUCUUCUUCUACAUGUUUCUUACUGCAUUUCUUUAGAGUUGCAGAAAUCUGCAACAAUGGAGUAUUAACUCCACGAUUAUACGAAACUAUUAUGGUAUCAGAGCAGGCGUAAUUAGGACUAGUUUGAGUUCGAAAUCUUCUUUCCGCGAAGAAAUUCUUUGAAGAUCAGAUUAUAGCCAUGGCAGAACUUACUGUAGCAACCCUUGGACACAAUCAUCCACUCUAUCUGCAGCCUUCAGACGUGCCUGGUGUUGCAUUGAUCACAACAAAACUUACAGGACCUGAGAAUUAUGGUCUUUGAGCAGAUCGAUGAGAUUGGCACUGUUGGUGAAGAACAAGAUAGGCUUCAUAGAUGGAACCUGUUUGAAGAGUAUGUACAAGGAUGAAUUAGCAGUUCAAUGGGAAAGAUGCAAUGCAGUGGUUCUUUCAUGGAUUAGCAGCACAGUAGCAAACAAUUUGUUAACAACAAUAGUAUAUGCAUCAAAUGCAAAACGAGUUUGGGAAGAUUUCAAGGAGAGGUUUAAUAAAUCUAAUCUUACUAGGAUCUAUCAACUCUGGACAAAAGUAGCCACAUUAAAGCAAGGUACGGAUUCUGUAACAGAGUAUUACUCUAAAUUGAGGGAUUUAUGGGAUCAGUAUGAUGUAUUGGUGCCCUCACCAUCAUGUAAAUGUGAUGAUGCUAAGCCUUACAUUGAGCAUUUACAUCAACAAAGGCUGAUAAUGUUCUUGAUGGGAUUAAAUGAGACUUUCAGUCAUGUGAGGAGAUCAAUCCUAUAUAAUCAGAAGUUGAUGCUUCUUUAGAGAAUAAUCUGUUGGAGCCACAACAUAGUGAAAUCACAGGUGAUAGUAAUCUUACACCUGCUAGAAGAACUGGUAGACAUUCUAGGCCUCCUCUUUGGCAUAAAGAUUACAUAAUUUCAACUAAGUCUAAUAUGACUAGUUUGUAUCCUAUUGCUAAUAAUUUGUCAUAUGAACUCUUGACACCAUCUUAUCAAAAUUUUAUCAAAGGGUUCUCAGUUAUAGUAGAACCCACCAGCUUUAAGGAAGCCUCCAAACACCAACAAUAGGUGGAUGCAAUGCAGCCUGAAGUAGCUGCUUUAGAGCAAAACAAUACCUGGACAAUAGUAAAUUUGUCAUCUGGUAAACACCCUAUUGGUUCAAAAUGGGUUUAUAAAGUUAAACUUAAGGCCAAUGGUGAGGUGGAAAGGUACAAGGCUAGGUUGGUUGCCAAAGGCUAUAAUCAACAAGAAGGGUUGGACUAUCAUGAAACUUUUUCUCCAGUAGCUAAGAUGGUCACAGUGAGAACUGUGAUUAGUGUUGCAGCAUCCCAUGGUUGGCCUCUUUUCCAAAUGGAUGUACAUAAUGCUUUCCUUCAAGGUGAUCUCAAUGAAGAAGUAUAUAUGGACUUGCCUCAAGGAUUUCAGAGGCAGGGGGAGAACAAAGUCUGCAAAUUGUUGAAAUCUUUUUAUGGCUUGAAACAAGCUUCUAGGCAAUGGAACCUUAAGCUAACUGAGGCUCUAGUUAAUGCUGGAUAUUCUCAAAGUUCUUAUGAUCAUUCUCUUUUCACAAAGAUAGUUGGUGAUGAUAUUGCAGCAAUAUUGAUCUAUGUAGAUGAUCUUCUUAUAACUGGAAAUAGCAGUGUUCUAAUUGAGGAUCUAAAGGCUACAUUGCAUAGCAACUUCAAAAUGAAGGAUCUUGGUGAUCUAAAAUAUUUUCUUGGUAUUGAAGUACUAAGAUCAAAAAAUGGUAUUGUUCUUAGCCAAAGAAAGUAUGCACUAGAGUUGAUUUCAGACUGUGGUCUUGGAGGUUCAAAACCAGCAAGCACACCUUUAGAAUCAGGUGUCAAAUUAACUACUGUUGAAUAUGAUGAAGCCACUGCAAAGACAGAUGAUCCUUUAUAUGCAAAUGUGACUGCAUAUCAGAGAUUAAUUGGAAGGUUAUUGUACUUAACAACUACUAGGCCUGAUAUAUGUUUUGUUGUACAAGUUUUAUCACAAUUCAUGCAAAAGCCUAAGAUGUCUCACUGGGAAUCUGCAUUGAGAUUGGUUAGAUAUAUUAAAGGAUGUCCAGGACAAGGAAUACUGCUUAGCAGUAAAGACAACAAUGAAUUGGAGGCAUUUUGUGACUCAGACUGGGCAUCAUGUCCAAACACAAGAAGGUCAGUAACAGGGUAUGUAAUCAAGCUAGGGAAUUCACUCAUUUCUUAGAAAUCCAAGAAGCAACAUACAGUCAGCAGAAGCUGAGUAUAGAAGCAUGGCAGCUGCAGUAUCAGAAAUAUCUUGGUUACUUGGAGUAUUGAAAGAACUCAAUGUGAAUGUGAUAGUUCCUAUGAAGUUGCACUGUGAUAGUAAGGCUGCAAUUCAAAUUGGAGCUAAUCCUAUUUUUCAUGAAAGAACCAAGCACAUUGAGAUUGAUUGUCAUUUUGUGAGGGAGAAAAUCAAAAGUGGUAUGAUACAAACAGAAUAUAUCAACACUAAGGAGCAAUUGGCAGACCUUUUAACCAAAGGACUGGGAGUUUCUCAACAUCUUGAACUGAUCAACAAACUUGGAGUCUUCAAUGUCUAUAGAGAUUCCAGUUUGAGGGGGAGUAUUGGAAUUACAUAAGUCCAUUAAGUAGUUAGGCAAGUUAUAGUUAGUUGUAACUAACUUCAUGCACCAAAAGUGUGAUCAAAUAGAAUGACAUGAUUCUUAUAAAUAGGAGUCAUUAUUGUAUACUUCAUAUAUGAAAAUCAAAUCUUCUUCUUCUUCUUCUACAUGUUUCUUACUGCAUUUCUUUAGAGUUGCAGAAAUCUGCAACAAUGGAGUAUUAACUCCACGAUUAUACAAAACUAUUACUACCAAUUGAGUAAAACAAACAUAAUUAUGAAUAAAUAAAAUAUUACACCAGUUGAAAGUGAUUAUACCAAAAGAAAGAAAGAAAUCUACUCUAUGUAAUAUAUUUGUACAUGAUUUUUUCAAGAUAUAGUAUUAACAAUAAAUAAUAAUCUCUUAAAAUCUCACACAUAUUGUAAUCAAACCAUAUUAUAUUCAACAAAUUAACUGUUAAAGAGAACAAUCACAUACUAACAACACGUUGUUUAUUAUUACAAGUUUUUUUGAAUCAUACUUCCUUUGGAGAAUAAUAAUACAUACAUAAAUAAAAUAUUAAUAAAGCAUAUCCAAAUAUAUAUAAAAAUAAAAAGAGAAUCGAGAAUGAAAUAUUUCAUUUCCAAGUCUUUCUUUUCAUUUUUUAUAAUUUACCUAUCUAAAUUCAUGUUUAAUUUCAUGAAAAUUCACAUCCACAUUCAAGAAUAUAUUUUCUCUUCUUUAUCAUAUUAAUUUGUGAAUUAACUUACAUUUAAUGAAAAAAAAGUAUAUGACAAAGAAGGAAAGGAUAACCUUGAAGUGAAUCUUCAUAAAACUAAAUAUGAGUUUAUAUAGACAAAAUACAGAAAUAUCAUAAGACAUCAUAAACUUAUAAUUAAUUUUGGAGGUUAUAGGCAUGAAAAUUAUGAGUCUUAAAUAUUAUUAAAAACAAAAAUUAAAGAGGAGUAUAUAAGUCAUGGGUAAUUACUCCUCCUAAAUAAAUUAAAUAAUAAAGAGAAAAACACUCAAAAUAUUAAAAUAUAUUAUCAAGUAAAAAAGAAUGUGAAGAAUCUUUGAUAUAUAUAGAUGUUACUUCAUUAUUAAAAUAUUUAUUUUUAAUGAAUUGAGUAGUUUGAUUUUAUAAUAUAAUAAUUAUUUUUAAAAAAAAGUCAAAAUUUGAGAAAAAAAAAUUACAAAUAAAGAUUAUAUAGAGGUGUCACAUCACCUACUUUAUAUUUUUCCUCCAUAUAUAGAUAGAUAGAUUAGAUUGUUCGAUUGACCAAAGUUAUUGAUAAUUCAAUGGCGGCUACAAAGAGCAUUGACUAAACUAAGUUUUAUAUCACAACGUCUUAAUCUAUGUUUUAUAAUUGAUAUUUUUAGAUUGAGUGUCCUUUUACUUUGCUAAAAACUUCAAAAAUUCUAUGUUAUUUAUAUCAGUAGGCCUAAGGGUAUUUGGCCUUCCCUUGGGUAAGCCGCCUAUCAAGAGGUAAUUUUUGGAGUUAAUUUAAGCUUUGAAUUAUUCUGUUUCAUUGUUAUUUGGUGAUGAACUCUUAAUUCUUAUAUUAUAUUUAAUUUUUUCUGUCAAUUGAAUAACCGCCAAUCAAUUAUACUCAAUGCAAGGGAAGCUUAAUUAUUUUUAAAAAAAUUCUGAUAUCUGUAUUAAUCUAUUAUAACACGUUAGUAAUCAAAUAAUAAUAUAAAAAAAAUCAUUAAAAAUUGCACUAUAGGUAUUAAUCUAUUAUUAUAACAUGUUAGUAAUCAAUUAAUCAUGCAUAAAUUUUUUAUUAUUAAUAUUAAUAAUAUAUAGAAAGUAGAUGCAAUAUAAUAAUCACAUGCUAAAGUGCGUUCCAAAUAAUUGUAAUAAGUUAGUUAGACCUGGUAACCACUUUUAUCUUGGAUUUAGCUUGUUUAGAUGGGGCUCAUUUCAAGUGAUUUUGAAUAGUUUAAUAGUGUAUAAGUAAGUUACAAGAAAAUACUUAUUAACAUUAAUUAGUUUUAAGUUAAAUGAAAAAAAUGAAUCAAAAGUCAUAAGUUAAAAAUAUAAUUAAUCAAAACUGAAAAAUCAAUCCAAACAGGCUGCUAAAACUGAUAAUUCAAACGGCUACAAAGAGUACUGGGAAAAGCUAGGCUGCUAACACUGUUUUAAAAUUUAGUCAAUUGAUUUUGUUUUAUUUUCAUCACUCAUUUGCUAUAAAUAGAUGGAAGAGGACAGACACUCCUCACCCCAAAAUAAAUAAAGAAAACAAAGUAAGUAGUAAUUAAUGGCUCUUCACAAAGAUGUUACUUUCCUUGCUUCCUUGCUUGUUCUUGGUAAAUUAAUUACUUUUCUCUUUAUGUUCUUAAUUCGUUGAUACAUACACAAGAAUCGCAAUUAUAUACUAUGUUUUAAUCUUAAUAUAUCUUAUAUUUGUUGUAGGAUUAAUGUUUCUCCAUGUAAGCGCAGAGAUAGACCAAGGUCGCGAUAUCAUAAAUCCCAAGCCUUGUACCAGAGAAUGUGGUAAUUUUAGCUAUGCAAUAUGUCCACGUUCAGAAGGAAGUCCAAAAAGCCCCAUAUGUACCACAUGUUGUGCAGGCUACAAAGGUUGCAAAUAUUACAACGCUAAUGGAACUUUCAUUUGUGAAGGACAAUCUGACCCAAGAAAGCCAAACGAACAUUGUCCCAAGGAAUGUAAUCGUAAGAUUGCUUAUUCAAAAUGUCCCCAUUCAGAAGGACCUACUAAAAUUAUACCCACUAAAUGCACCACGUGUUGCACGGGAUACAAGGGUUGCUACUAUUACGGUAAAGACAACAAGUUUGUGUGUGAAGGACAGAGUAAUGAACCCAAGGUUUGUACUCAACAAUGUGAUCCUAAAGUUGCCUAC